rnacentral:rRNA from 1 species
GAUGAACGCUGGCGGCGUGCCUAAUACAUGCAAGUCGAGCGAACAGACGAUGAGCUUGCUGCUUGGACGUUAGCGGCGGACGGGUGAGUAACACGUGUAUAACCUACCUAUCAUAGUGGUAUAAUUUGGGGAAUCCGGCUCUAAUAGCGGAGAAGCUAUUGAUGCGCAUGGGUGAAUAGUGAAAGACGGUGUUGCUGGCUCGUAUAGAUGGAUCUGCGCCGCAUGAGCUAGUUGGGAAGUUAACGGGUUAUCAAGGGAACGAGGCGUAAGCGAGGUGAGAGGGUGAUCGGCCACCCUGGAGCUGAGACACGGUCCAGGCUCCUACGGGAGGCAGCAGUCGGCAACCUGCCGCAGAGGGCGAAAGCCUGGCGGAGCAACGCCGCGUGAGUGAUGACGGUCUCCGGAUCGUGAAAAUCUCUUAUUAGGGAAGAACAACUGUGUACGUAAAUAUGCACGUAUUGACGGUACCUAAUCAGAAAGCAACGGCUAACUACGUG